rnacentral:rRNA from 1 species
AGAGUUUGAUCAUGGCUCAGGACGAACGCUGGCGGCGUGCUUAACACAUGCAAGUCGAACGCUGAAGCUCUGCCCUUGUGGUGGGGUGGAUGAGUGGCGAACGGGUGAGUAACACGUGGGUAAUCUGCCCCAUACUCUGGGAUAACCCCUGGAAACGGGGGCUAAUACCGGAUAGGACAUUCUGCCGCAUGGUGGGGUGUGGAAAGUUCCGGCGGUAUGGGAUGGGCCCGCGGCCUAUCAGCUUGUUGGUGGGGUAAUGGCCUACCAAGGCGACGACGGGUAGCCGGCCUGGGAGGGUGACCGGCCACACUGGGACUGAGACACGGCCCAGACUCCUACGGGAGGCAGCAGUGGGGAAUCUUGCGCAAUGGGCGAAAGCCUGACGCAGCAACGCCACGUGGGGGAUGAAGGCCUUCGGGUUGUAAACCUCUUUCACCAUCGACGAAGCCCUUUGGGGUGACGGUAGGUGGGGAAGAAGCACCGGCUAACUACGUGCCAGCAGCCGCGGUAAUACGUAGGGUGCGAGCGUUGUCCGGAUUUAUUGGGCGUAAAGAGCUCGUAGGCGGUUUGUCGCGUCGGCCGUGAAAACCUACAGCUUAACUGUGGGCUUGCGGUCGAUACGGGCAGACUUGAGUUCGGCAGGGGAGACUGGAAUUCCUGGUGUAGCGGUGAAAUGCGCAGAUAUCAGGAGGAACACCGGUGGCGAAGGCGGGUCUCUGGGCCGAUACUGACGCUGAGGAGCGAAAGCGUGGGGAGCGAACAGGAUUAGAUACCCUGGUAGUCCACGCCGUAAACGGUGGGCGCUAGGUGUGGGGACUGGUUCCACGGUUUCCGUGCCGUAGCUAACGCAUUAAGCGCCCCGCCUGGGGGAGUACGGCCGCAAGGCUAAAACUCAAAGGAAUUGACGG